AGCCCUAAACCUAAUCCACCUUCGACGUUCCAUUUCGACCCUUCCUAACAUCUCUCUCUCUCCAUCUGCAAUUCUGCAUCUGUCCUCUCUUCGUUUAAAAAAGCUCCUUAUUCUUCGUCGCCGCCGCCUGCUUAGGUUGAUGCAUGGAUUUGGAACCUUGGCCAUGUGAGUGGGUACGGUCUUUAUCUACAUGCACUACUCAUGGAUUGUACAAGUACGGUAUCUCUUUGCUAUGGCCGCUCGCUCGUGGCGACGUGCAUGUAGGUCUUCUAGUGGACUGUGACGAACUCUUUUUAGGUUUGAAAUUUCAAAUUGAUGCCAUUGCAAAAAUCGAGUUAAAUAGCCACCUAUCAAACUCUAGUAUUAUAUUUUGGAAGUACCACUACCACAAGCUAAUGCACCCAUGCAAGUAAUAAUCUGACUACCCUUGUGCUGUUUCUGUUUUCGGUCAAACCGGUUUUGCAUGUAGUUGCUUUCUGGAGAGUGAAAAUCCUCACUAGUUGUGCUUAUAGAAGAGCAAAUUAAUUAUAAAGUGUUUUAAUAUUCAUGUUCAGGAAAGAGAGGGGCGGAACCAGCCCCUUGGAGGGCCUACCCUCACAUUUUAAAAAAAAAAUUGUUUAUAUAGCCCAUUUCCCAUUAAGGGAGGCAAUCGGAGAGGGGAAAGGCAGGCGACCAAAGCGAGACUGCCCGGUCUUGAUUAGCAAUUUCUGGCAGGAGCUCUUUCGUUUACAAGGGAAUAGGCUUAUAAAAA